CGGGACGGGUGAGUAAUGUAUGGGGAUCUGCCUGAUGGGGGGGGAUAACUACUGGAAACGGUAGCUAAUACCGCAUAACGUCGCAAGACCAAAGGAGGGGACCGUUCGGGCCUCUUGCCAUCGGAUGUGCCCAGAUGGGAUUAGCUAGUAGGUGGGGUAACGGCUCACCUAGGCGACGAUCCCUAGCGGGUCUGAGAGGAUGACCAGCCACACUGGAACUGAGACACGGUCCAG
rnacentral:rRNA from 1 species